AUGUGACCAUCAGUUGGCUGACCUUGGUGCACGUCUCUGUUGGUGUGGAGCUGAUAUGGGAGCAGUGCAAAAAUACUCAAUAUCAAGAGAACAACAUUGCAAAUACAUUGAGAAGAAAACAUGUCUUACAUAAAGCAAUCUUUCCCAUCUCCACGUACAUGAAGACUCAGAAACGCAGAGGCAGCCUUGACUUCACACCACAUGGAUUCAGCACCGCUUUUGUUUUCUCGGGUUGCUCAAGUUCUUAGGAACUGCCUCUCCACAUGGAUUAAAACACAAAACAGGACAAAUUAAAAGUGAGAGAAGCAGGAAGUCCACAGCAGAUCUUGGAAAUGAAGGAGUUGGCUGUUCCCCACAAAAUGCUGAGCCGCUCUUAACCCCUUUACCCCCAUGAAGCUUUUUUAACCUGAUGAGAGAAUGGCUAACAACGGAAUGAAUCAAAGGAUGGGAAUAUGAGUUCAAAAACUGGGGAACUUUCCUGAAGAAAAGAGUUUAGACUUGGGGAAGCAUCAAAUAUACUCCCCUCCAACCAAAAGUACAAUAAAACUAAAAUACGUCAGAGUUUACGUAAAAUGUGUAUUUAUGAUUUUGUAUAG